CAGUCGAGCGAGCGGAACCACAGAUUUACUUCGGUAAUGACGUUGGGAAAGCGAGCGGCGGAUGGGUGAGUAACACGUGGGGAACCUGCCCCUAAGUCUGGGAUACCAUUUGGAAACAGGUGCUAAUACCGGAUAAUAAAGCGAAUCGCAUGAUCAGCUUUUGAAAGGCGGCGUAAGCUGUCGCUAAGGGAUGGCCCCGCGGUGCAUUAGCUAGUUGGUAAGGUAACGGCUUACCAAGGCGACGAUGCAUAGCCGAGUUGAGAGACUGAUCGGCCACAUUGGGACUGAGACACGGCCCAAACUCCUAUGGGAGGCAGCAGUAGGGAAUCUUCCACAAUGGACGCAAGUCUGAUGGAGCAACGCCGCGUGAGUGAAGAAGGUUUUCGGAUCGUAAAGCUCUGUUGUUGGUGAAGAAGGAUAGAGGUAGUAGCUGGCCUUUAUUUGACGGUAAUCAACCAGAAAGUCACGGCUAACUACGUGCCAGCAGCCGCGGUAAUACGUAGGUGGCAAGCGUUGUCCGGAUUUAUUGGGCGUAAAGCGAGCGCAGGCGGAAAAAUAAGUCUAACGUGAAAGCCCUCGGCUUAACCGAGGAACUGCAUCGGAAACUGUUUUUCUUGAGUGCAGAAGAGGAGAGUGGAACUCCAUGUGUAGCGGUGGAAUGCGUAGAUAUAUGGAAGAACACCAGUGGCGAAGGCGGCUCUCUGGUCUGCAACUGACGCUGAGGCUCGAAAGCAUGGGUAGCGAACAGGAUUAGAUACCCUGGUAGUCCAUGCCGUAAACGAUGAGUGCUAAGUGUUGGGAGGUUUCCGCCUCUCAGUGCUGCAGCUAACGCAUUAAGCACUCCGCCUGGGGAGUACGACCGCAAGGUUGAAACUCAAAGGAAUUGACGGGGGCC
rnacentral:rRNA from 1 species